rnacentral:rRNA from 1 species
CGAGUUUGAUCAGUGGCUCAGGAUGAACGCUAGCGGCAGGCUUAACACAUGCAAGUCGAGGGGUAUAGUUCUUCGGAACUAGAGACCGGCGCACGGGUGCGUAACGCGUAUGCAAUCUACCUUUCACAAAGGGAUAGCCCAGAGAAAUUUGGAUUAAUACCUUAUAGUAAUACGACUUGGCAUCAAGAUGUAUUUAAAGAUUUAUCGGUGAAAGAUGAGCAUGCGUCCCAUUAGCUUGUUGGUAAGGUAACGGCUUACCAAGGCAACGAUGGGUAGGGGUCCUGAGAGGGAGAUCCCCCACACUGGUACUGAGACACGGACCAGACUCCUACGGGAGGCAGCAGUGAGGAAUAUUGGACAAUGGGCGCAAGCCUGAUCCAGCCAUGCCGCGUGCAGGAUGACGGUCCUAUGGAUUGUAAACUGCUUUUGUACAGGAAGAAACCCUUUCACGUGUGGAAGAUUGACGGUACUGUAAGAAUAAGGAUCGGCUAACUCCGUG